CGAGACUGCCGGUAAUAAACCGGAGGAAGGUGGGGAUGACGUCAAAUCAUCAUGCCCCUUAUGACCUGGGCUACACACGUGCUACAAUGGUUGGUACAACGAGUUGCGAGUCGGUGACGGCGAGCUAAUCUCUUAAAGCCAAUCUCAGUUCGGAUUGUAGGCUGCAACUCGCCUACAUGAAGUCGGAAUCGCUAGUAAUCGCGGAUCAGCACGCCGCGGUGAAUACGUUCCCGGGCCUU
rnacentral:rRNA from 1 species